rnacentral:rRNA from 1 species
ACGAAGGGGGCUAGCGUUGCUCGGAAUUACUGGGCUUAAAGGGUGCGUAGGCGGCGCGGAAAGUUGGGUGUGAAAUCCCUCGGCUCAACCGAGGAACUGCGCCCAAAACUACCGUGCUCGAGGGAGAUAGAGGUGAGCGGAACUUAGGGUGGAGCGGUGAAAUGCGUUGAUAUCCUAAGGAACACCCGUGGCGAAAGCGGCUCACUGGGUCUCUUCUGACGCUGAGGCACGAAAGCUAGGGUAGCGAACGGGA